GAGUGCUUGCACUCUGUGAAAAAGAUACGGGCUAGCGGCGGACGGGUGAGUAACACGUGGGUAACCUGCCCAAGAGAUCGGGAUAACACCUGGAAACAGAUGCUAAUACCGGAUAACAACAGAUGAUGCCUAUCAACUGUUUAAAAGAUGGUUCUGCUAUCACUCUUGGAUGGACCUGCGGUGCAUUAGCUAGUUGGUAGGGUAACGGCCUACCAAGGCGAUGAUGCAUAGCCGAGUUGAGAGACUGAUCGGCCACAUUGGGACUGAGACACGGUCCAAACUCCUACGGGAGGCAGCAGUAGGGAAUCUUCCACAAUGGACGCAAGUCUGAUGGAGCAACGCCGCGUGAGUGAAGAAGGGUUUCGGCUCGUAAAGCUCUGUUGUUGGUGAAGAAGGACAGGGGUAGUAACUGACCUUUGUUUGACGGUAAUCAAUUAGAAAGUCACGGCUAACUACGUGCCAGCAGCCGCGGUAAUACGUAGGUGGCAAGCGUUGUCCGGAUUUAUUGGGCGUAAAGCGAGUGCAGGCGGCUCGAUAAGUCUGAUGUGAAAGCCUUCGGCUCAACCGGAGAAUUGCAUCAGAAACUGUCGAGCUUGAGUACAGAAGAGGAGAGUGGAACUCCAUGUGUAGCGGUGAAAUGCGUAGAUAUAUGGAAGAACACCGGUGGCGAAGGCGGCUCUCUGGUCUGUUACUGACGCUGAGGCUCGAAAGCAUGGGUAGCGAACAGGAUUAGAUACCCUGGUAGUCCAUGCCGUAAA
rnacentral:rRNA from 1 species